CACAUAGACGACGUCCGCCCUGAUUAGGCAUACUAUCACAAAAAAGAAGUGUUUUAGCUCGCUGGAGGCAACCAGUAAGCUUUAAUCAACUUUCAAUUGGAUGACACUCAACUGAGAAUUUCAUCGAUUAAAGUAGUUUUUAAGCAACUAUACAAUAUGUCUUAAGUUAUCUACUGUAAGGGUAAAAAAGUGUAUACCUAUUUCUAAAACACAACUAAUUCUACAAAAAGUGUACGUAUAGUAUUAAAAAUAUGUUAUUGUA